CUGUUGUCUCCUGCCAUGUAACGUCUGCUUACGCAUAUGAAGUAACACAUCAAGUAAGCGCGCUGUCCAGCGGGUUUCCACGCUGUCCGGACAACAUCAUCAUCCUCAUCCUCAUCCUUGCUUCCCAGGACACAGCGGGCAUCCACCUCAUGGUGUCACGAUUGAACCUUUGCAGCUGCAUGGAGCUCCAGCUUGAGCUCAUCUUUGCCCCCGGCCAUGUAGAGGUGUCCCAGGUACACAGCACAACCAGCGCUCUCUCUGGGACUCAGCAUGUGGGCGCAUAUCGACCAGGUAUCUGUCCAUUGCCACCAGACACACUGCACUCUGAGGGUUGUUCAAGGGUGCUACAUCUGUACUCCAGCUGUCUGUGUCUGGAUUGUACCUGCCAGGAUGGAAAUCAAAGAGUGGGAUGUCAAAGUGUUGGAGGAAGAUAAUAUCAGCUGCUGGCAAUGACAUUUUGAGAAGACAAAUCACAGAGAGAUGCUUUCAUAGAAACUCGGCUUUUUAAAGUAUUUGCAAUCUUUGUGCUUUGUGCUACUUUUAAAGUUUUUCAAGCUUACACACAAAUAAAAAUAGAAUAACAUUCUAUACUGUUCAUGGGGCAGUGCAGGAAUGUCACCUUUGGUUCAUUUCUAUCCUUUAGGAGGGUCUUGCAACAGACAGAAUUAGUCAAAUUGCACAUUUACUACAAUAGCCAAAUACUGUUUUUCCCUUUAUAUAGCCACAAUUUCUUAGU